GACAGAGGGUGCAAGCGUUGUUCGGAAUUACUGGGCGUAAAGCGCGUGUAGGCUGCUCAGAAAGUCGGGUGUGAAAGCCCUGGGCUUAACCCAGGAAGUGCACUCGAAACCUCUGAGCUUGAGUUCUGGAGAGGAAGGCGGAAUUCUCGGUGUAGAGGUGAAAUUCGUAGAUAUCGAGAGGAACACCGGUGGCGAAGGCGGCCUUCUGGACAGUGACUGACGCUGAGACGCGAAAGCGUGGGGAGCAAACAGG
rnacentral:rRNA from 1 species